rnacentral:tRNA from 1 species
GCCGGGGUCGCUCAACUAGGUAGAGCACGUAGUUGAAACCUACGCGUCCGCAAGGACUUCUGGGUUCAAACUCCGUUGGGUCAAAAACCCUCUGGGUGAAAAUCCCAGCCCCGGCG